UGAAGCCGGAAUUGCUAGUAAUGGCAGGUCAGCAUACUGCCGUGAAUACGUUCCCGGGCCUUGUACACACCGCCCGUCACACCAUGAGAGUUGGGGAUACCCGAAGCCUGUGAGCCAACUAUAUAGAGGCAGCAGUCGAAGGUAGAAUCAAUGAUUGGGGUGAAGUCGUAACAAGGUAAC
rnacentral:rRNA from 1 species